GUUUUUUAAUUAAAAACUAGAAUGAAAGGUUAUACAUUCAAAUUUCUUUAUUAAUUUUUAAUAAAUAAUUUAUAUUAAAUAUAAAAAUMUAKUUAUAAAAAAAAAAGACGACAAGACCCUAWUAAAUUUUACUUAUAGUUUAGCUGGGGAAGCUUUUCAAUUAAAAUUUUUUAAAAUAAAUUAUCUAAAUAUCUAAUAAAAUUAAAAUUUCAAUAAAUUACUAUAGGGAUAACAGCAUUAUAUUUUUUAAAAGUUCAUAUUAAAAAAAAUGAUUGUGACCUCGAUGUUGAAUUAUAUUUUCUAUAUUUAAUGCAAUAAUUAUAUAAGUAGAUCUGUUCGAUCUUUAAAAUAUUACAUGAUUUGAGUUCAAACCGGUGUAAACCAGGUUGGUUUCUAUCUUUUUAUAUAUUUUUCUAGUACGAAAGGACAAAAAAAUUUUUAUUUUAAUAAAUUAGCAAAUAAAUGCAUUAGAUUUAGAAUCUAAAUAUAUUUAAUAAUU
rnacentral:misc_RNA from 1 species